AAUAGAUACCCGGGUAGUCCACGCCGUAAACGAUGAGUGCUAAGUGUUAGAGGGUUUCCGCCCUUUAGUGCUGCAGCAAACGCAUUAAGCACUCCGCCUGGGGAGUACGGCCGCAAGGCUGAAACUCAAAGGAAUUGACGGGGGCCCGCACAAGCGGUGGAGCAUGUGGUUUAAUUCGAAGCAACGCGAAGAACCUUACCAGGUCUUGACAUCCUCUGCCACUCCUAGAGAUAGGACGUUCCCCUUCGGGGGACAGAGUGACAGGUGGUGCAUGGUUGUCGUCAGCUCGUGUCGUGAGAUGUUGGGUUAAGUCCCGCAACGAGCGCAACCCUUGAUCUUAGUUGCCAGCAUUCAGUUGGGCACUCUAAGGUGACUGCCGGUGACAAACCGGAGGAAGGUGGGGAUGACGUCAAAUCAUCAUGCCCCUUAUGACCUGGGCUACACACGUGCUACAAUGGAUGAUACAAAGGGUCGCAAAACCGCGAGGUCGAGCCAAUCCCACAAAACCAUUCUCAGUUCGGAUUGC
rnacentral:rRNA from 1 species